CUGGCGUACUAUAUUAUAAUCCUGGUACCUUUGAUAACUAUUUACACCACUGGGUCGAUGCCACUGCUGGUGGACGUUUCGUCCCCGAGGGUAUCACCAGCCCAGUAGUCAACAUUUCGGUGUUGACAUGAAUAUCAAUAAUGUGGUCAUUUUUAUAAAUUUCCUGUUUACAAAACAUUGAAUUUUACGAAAAACUAAGGAUUUUCUUAUCCCAGACAUAGACUACCUUAGUCGUAUUUGGCACAACUUUUUGGAAUUUUGGAUCCUCAAUGCUCUUCAACUUUGUACUUGUUUGGCUUUAUAAAUAUUUUGAUAUGAGCGUCACUGAUGAGUCUUAUGUAGACGAAACGCGCG
rnacentral:lncRNA from 1 species